CAGUCGACGAUGAAAGGGAGCUUGCUCCCUGGAUUAGUGGCGAACGGGUGAGUAACACGUGAGUAACCUGCCCUUGACUCUGGGAUAAGCACUGGAAACGGUGUCUAAUACCGGAUACGAACUUCAGCCGCAUGGCUAGGAGUUGGAAAGAAUUUCGGUCAAGGAUGGACUCGCGGCCUAUCAGGUAGUUGGUGAGGUAAUGGCUCACCAAGCCUACGACGGGUAGCCGGCCUGAGAGGGUGACCGGCCACACUGGGACUGAGACACGGCCCAGACUCCUACGGGAGGCAGCAGUGGGGAAUAUUGCACAAUGGGCGAAAGCCUGAUGCAGCAACGCCGCGUGAGGGACGACGGCCUUCGGGUUGUAAACCUCUUUUAGUAGGGAAGAAGCGAAAGUGACGGUACCUGCAGAAAAAGCACCGGCUAACUACGUGCCAGCAGCCGCGGUAAUACGUAGGGUGCAAGCGUUGUCCGGAAUUAUUGGGCGUAAAGAGCUCGUAGGCGGUUUGUCGCGUCUGCUGUGAAAUCCGGAGGCUCAACCUCCGGCCUGCAGUGGGUACGGGCAGACUAGAGUGCGGUAGGGGAGAUUGGAAUUCCUGGUGUAGCGGUGGAAUGCGCAGAUAUCAGGAGGAACACCAAUGGCGAAGGCAGAUCUCUGGGCCGUAACUGACGCUGAGGAGCGAAAGCAUGGGGAGCGAACAGGAUUAGA
rnacentral:rRNA from 1 species